CCUACGGGAGGCAGCAGUGAGGAAUAUUGGUCAAUGGACGCAAGGCUGAACCAGCCAUGCCGCGUGCAGGAAGACGGCUCUAUGAGUUGUAAACUGCUUUUGUACGAGGGUAAACGCAGAUACGUGUAUCUGUCUGAAAGUAUCGUACGAAUAAGGAUCGGCUAACUCCGUGCCAGCAGCCGCGGUAAUACGGAGGAUUCAAGCGUUAUCCGGAUUUAUUGGGUUUAAAGGGUGCGUAGGCGGUCGGAUAAGUUAGAGGUGAAAUCCCGAGGCCCAACUUCGGAAUUGCCUCUGAUACUGUUCGGCUAGAGAGUAGUUGCGGUAGGCGGAAUGUAUGGUGUAGCGGUGAAAUGCUUAGAGAUCAUACAGAACACCGAUUGCGAAGGCAGCUUACCAAGCUACUUCUGACGUUGAGGCACGAAAGCGUGGGGAGCAAACAGGAUUAGAUACCCGAGUAGUC
rnacentral:rRNA from 1 species